rnacentral:rRNA from 1 species
UACGUAGGGCGCAAGCGUUGUCCGGAAUUAUUGGGCGUAAAGAGCUCGUAGGCGGUCUGUUACGUCGGCUGUGAAAACCUGGGGCUCAACCCCGGGCCUGCAGCCGAUACGGGCAGACUAGAAUUCGGUAGGGGAGACUGGAAUUCCUGGUGUAGCGGUGGAAUGCGCAGAUAUCAGGAGGAACACCGGUGGCGAAGGCGGGUCUCUGGGCCGACAUUGACGCUGAGGAGCGAAAGCGUGGGGAGCGAACAGG